rnacentral:lncRNA from 1 species
CCUGCUUCUUUUUUCUGCUUUUUUCUUCUUUCUUUUUUUUUUUUUGGGUUUGAAGCUACUGGUGGGCUGCUGCUGCUGCUGCAGGGUGCUGCUGUUUGGGUCGGAUCCAGGUCGGGUCGGGUCUUGGGUCGUCCAGGUCGGGUUGAGUCGGCCCGAAAAAAAAUUAUUUUUUUCUUUUUUUUUCUUGCCCUUUUUUCUUUC